UUCUGGCUCAGGAUUAACGCUGGCGGCAUGCCUAAUACAUGCAAGUCGAACGAGAGUAGCAAUACUCUAGUGGCGAACGGGUGAGUAACACGUAGGCAAUCUACCCAUUAGACGAGGAUAACUAUUGGAAACGAUAGCUAAAACUGGGUAGGAUAUAGCGAGGCAUCUUGUAAUAUUUAAAGGUCCUGAAAGGGAACACUAAUGGAUGAGCCUGCGGUGCAUUAGCUAGUUGGUGAGGUAACGGCCCACCAAGGCGACGAUGCAUAGCUGUGCUGAGAGGCAAAACAGCCACAUUGGGACUGAGACACGGCCCAGACUCCUACGGGAGGCAGCAGUAGGGAAUUUUCGGCAAUGGGGGAAACCCUGACCGAGCAAUGCCGCGUGAAUGAAAGAAGUUCUUCGGAAUGUAAAAUUCUGUUAUUCGUGAAAGAAAGAUAUUAAUAGGAAAUGAUUAGUAUUUGACGGUACCGAAUGAGAAAGCCCCGGCUAACUAUGUGCCAGCCGCAGC
rnacentral:rRNA from 1 species